AACGAACGCUGGCGGCAGGCUUAACACAUGCAAGUCGAGCGCCUUGGCAACAAGGAGCGGCAGACGGGUGAGUAACGCGUGGGAAUCUACCCAUCUCUACGGAAUAACUCAGGGAAACUUGUGCUAAUACCGUAUACGCCCUUAGGGGGAAAGAUUUAUCGGAGAUGGAUGAGCCCGCGUUGGAUUAGCUAGUUGGUGGGUAAAGGCCUACCAAGGCGACGAUCCAUAGCUGGUCUGAGAGGAUGAUCGCCACACUGGGACUGAGACACGGCCCAGACUCCUACGGAGGCAGCAGUGGGAAUUUGGACAAUGGGGAAACCCUGAUCCAGCCAUGCCGCGUGAGUGAAGAAGGCC
rnacentral:rRNA from 1 species